UACGAAGGGGGCUAGCGUUGCUCGGAAUCACUGGGCGUAAAGCGCACGUAGGCGGCUUUCUAAGUCAGAGGUGAAAUCCUGGAGCUCAACUCCAGAACUGCCUUUGAUACUGGAGAGCUAGAGUCCGGAAGAGGUGAGUGGAACUGCGAGUGUAGAGGUGAAAUUCGUAGAUAUUCGCAACAACACCAGUGGCGAAGGCGGCUCACUGGUCCGGUACUGACGCUGAGGUGCGAAAGCGUGGGGAGCAAACAGG
rnacentral:rRNA from 1 species